AAAAAUUAACUGAGUCAACUCUUAAUUAAUUAAGAGUUAACUUAGUUGAUUUUUUCUCUAUCAAGCGAGUUUGGAAUCAGUAAAUGUGUUUCGUCGCACAGAAUUCAAUGGCCUUUCUCUUCAUCUUCUACGUUCCUUUUCAAAAAAAAUCUAAAGUCAAAAAGCAAAGGCUGGCACAUUAAAUCAGAUUCUCAUAUUACAAACCCUCACACCAAGUUCAUUUUUGUUAUAUAUUCAUCAUGUUAUCAAUUUUGUUUUUUUUCUAAUUUUGUUGUGUUCCUGUGAAUUUGAAAAAUACAAAUUAACAAACGUGUCUUCAUCCCUUCUUUAAUAGAAAGAGACAAUAAAUCUUCUACCGAAUUCAUCUUUGUCGUAAGUCUUAUGCAGCUUUUGUGUCUUUUCAUCUUCUUCUUUUUUCUUCAUUAGCAUAAUGGGUCUGUAUAUCUAUGAAUUAUGCUUCAAGGGUUUGUUCAAAAACGUUUUGGAUCUCUGGUUUGGGAGGGUUUCUUCAUGAAUUUCUACAAAAAUGAAUUAGGUAUGUUAUUUGGGGUUUCUUCAUUAGCAUAAUGGGUAUGUAUAUCUGUAUUAUUUUGGAGCAAUGUCAAGCAUAGAUGGAAAUUGGUUGUCCUGCCUAUCAUCUGUUCGAUGAAAUUUUUAAGUGAAGGUUUAGAAAGUUACUGGAAUUGAGUUAACCAUCUAUUUAGUCUUUAAUUUUUAAUGUAUGGGUGUUAUUUUUAAAAAAAGUAGUACUAUAUAUAUAUGUAUUUGGAUUUGUAUUUGUACUUUUUUGUGGUUAGAUCUGAUGGGAGGAUGAAUAAUGGGUUGGGUAGCAGUGCUGACAAGUUAAUUACUAAUGUUGUUGCAGUUAACCAUCUCUCCCUCUUUCUCUGACUAUAUAUUUCAGACUUUCUGUAUUUGUAUAUUUUUGUUAUGUGAAGUUUUAUUUUUUGUUUGUAAUUUGCAGACAAAGAUCGAUACUUCAGCAGCAUCUACAACAUCUAAACCUUGGUAAGCUUCCUUUUCUACAUAUGCAAUUAUAAGUAAUGUGUUUCUCGCUUUCUAGCUCAACAAGUUUGUAUCUUCUCAAGAAUUUUAUUUUUAUUAUUAUUAUUUUAUUUUUUAUUCUUUACAAGAGGUAAUGCAAUUUUCAUAGUGAUAGCUUGAAAGAAAGCUGAAUUUAUUUAUUAUACAUUUCGGUAUAAAUAUUUUUUGUGUGAAUUAUUAUUUAGUAUGUGUUAAGCUGCCAAGACAUAAAAGAUCCAAGAUGUUUUCACUGUUUGAGGAAAUGAUGACAAAGGGUAUUGAACCUCAUGGAAUUGUUUAUAGUUUGGUUAAUGCUUAGUGCAAGGAAGGAAAUUCGGACCCAAUUUGUUAUUCUUCUCCCAAUUUCAACUUUAGAGAAACCAAACAAAAGGAUCAGACGUUUUGCUUCCAAGUCAUUUGUGCAUUAAUCGAUUCCAAGUAAUUUUUUAUCUUUAUAUUUAGGCUGUUUUUGUAAUGGGUGUAGAUAUUUUCACGCAAUUGAGCAUUGCAUAUGAGUAAUUAGCUUUAUUGUUUAGAAUUAAGAAUUAAGAAAGUCAAAUUUCAAAUUUGUGGAAAAUUUACAAUGUUAUGGAUUAAACAGAUUAUAUAAGACUGCUUGGGAUGCCUAAUAGAUUAGUUAAGGGAAUGUGAUCAGGGUCUGUUCAUUAAUAAUGUUAUUAAUUGGGCUAAGACUGAGGAUUCCAAUUGACCUUGAGUUGGCUGUUUAGAAUAGUGCACAUUACAUGUUUAGUGAAAUGCCAAAAAAAGGAUAUAUGUUGUCUCCUCGCGAUCGCCUCUACUAAAGUAAUCUUCGAUGAACAUUUUGAAGGUAUAUUUAUGUGUGUAUGUACUAAUCUCUUUCUAUCUGUAAAGGAUUGUGAUCGCAUUUUCGAUGUAGUUUGAGUUUACUUUUGUUGCAUUUUCGAAUCAAUGUGCUGAUCUUGAACUGAUUUGUUAAAUAUAAGAGCUUAAUUUUGUGUCUAUGUGUCGAUCUGAUUGCUAUGAGUAAUAUGGAUGAUCUGUAGCAUAUCUGUGAACUAAGUCCUAUUGCGCAGUUGAAAUUUUGGAAUUUACUCUUUUGCAUGCUUCUGUUUCUUAGUCAGACUCUGGAAAUUGAUAGCAUUGAUAUUGAUUAUAGUCAGACCCGUGGAAUAUUUGCUCCGUAGAUCAAGUAGAAGAACUAAAAGUAUUAAUCCGAGUUAUCCCAUUAUGAUCAACAGGGAUCACAAUGUCAAUAACCAUGAAUCAGAGUUCAUUUCCAUUGCUCCAAACCAAGUCCGUGGAUAGGCACCGCACUUCAAACUUUAUAUUACUAUGUGCAAAUCACAAUUCAUAGUUUUCCAUUUAGCUAAUUUCUUUCUUCUUUUAUACCUUUUCUUUUCUGCUAGCCCCAGGAUUUAUUUAACUGUUACGUUGGGUGAUGUAUGUUUUAUUGUUUUAAGAGAAUUUUGAUGUGAAAUCGUAUUGGGUAUUUGAAAUUUCAUGUGUUAGGUAUGAAUUAGUUAUAAAAAUCUUCAAUAAUGGUAGUUUAUGCUCUGUGCACAUGCAAAAUUUUAAACAAUUGGAGGUGUGAUAGUUAAUUUACUAACUAACUUGAGGGGAUGAACUCAUUACUUAAUAUAAAAUUGUGGGCUAUAAGUUGGUACAUGGAUUGUAUAUUUUCAGUCUUUUUUUGAUAUGAAUAUUUGACAUUAUUAAAUUUAUUAUUCAAUAUAUUUACAAAUGUAAGUGAUAUUUUAUGCAAAAAUGUAUUGAAAAAUCUAUAUGAAAAUUAC
rnacentral:lncRNA from 1 species